rnacentral:lncRNA from 1 species
GCCAUUUUGACUUUGUGAUUGUAGUAAAUAGUGAAAUCUCCGUGGAGAAACAACGUAUCCCAGAAUUCCCAAAAGCACCAUAGACUGAAAUUACACGUAUUUUGAACAGGCAAGAAUUUGAUAUAGUUUGGAACGUUAUCUACCUAAAAAUAACCAACAUGAAUCUAUAUUUAACUUAAGCUGGAUAUUGAGUAGCUCGCUAGUUGAACAUGGACAAAGAUGUUGUGCUUGCCAUUCAGCUGCAGGAGCAGUUUGACUUCGAGGCAUCCUCAUACACACCAACUGAUGAUAACUAUGGCCAAACCAGCCAAAAAUGUAUGCAGGUGUGUGUUCUUACGAAGGACGAGGUGGACUGUGUUAUAGUCGACUCAGUGAGCCUUUACUGA